rnacentral:rRNA from 1 species
AAACUCUACAAUGCAGGAGACUGCGAUAGGGGGACAUCGAGUGGCAUCCACCUUGGGUGCCUGUCCCACCGUACGGUGGUAGCAAGGGCCGGCAAGACCGGUGCCAGCCGCCGCGGUAAUACCGGCGGCUCGAGUGGUGGCCGAUAUUAUUGAGUCUGAAGGGUCCGUAGCCGGUUUGGUCAGUCCUCCGGGAAAUCUGAUAGCUCAACUAUUAGGCUUCGGGGGAUACUGCCAGACUUGGAACCGGGAGAGGUAAGAGGUACUACAGGGGUAGGAGUGAAAUCUUGUAAUCCCUGUGGGACCACCUGUGGCGAAGGCGUCUUACCAGAACGGUUCGACGGUGAGGGGCGAAAGCUGGGGGCACGAACCGGAUUAGAUACCCGGGUAGUCCCAGCCGUAAACGAUGCUCGCUAGGUGUCAGG